UUAACAUCCCGCUCCCGGUGGCGCAGGGGAGCCGGCCAAAGUUCCUCGCAAAGUGGCGAGCGAAGGAGCGCUGAGCACUGACGUCUGGGCUGGGGAGGAGCGGGUCCGAGCGAGGACGGAGAGGGGACAGAGGGAAAGGGAGGCGGGUGUCUUCCUCAGGAAUUUGAGCUGGGGAUCUGCAUCCUGGCCAUUGCAGUCCUUUAGCAUCCUCGCCGCGCCCUGAGCGCGCUGGAGGCUCGCAGGCUGCGCCCUCCCAGGGCUGAUGCCGCGUCCUGCUCCGCCGUUCUGGGACGUCGGGGACAAAAGUGGAGGAGACGGGAGAGCCCGGGCAGAAAAAGCAGGACGCGCGUCCCAGCUGCCGUGAAGAUGCCAAACCCACCAAGACUGCGCUGCCCCACCUCUCCGAGGCUGUCCUGGGAGUGCGGGUGACCCGCGAGCUCCAGAAUCUUUCCUUAAGGUGGAGCCACAGCGCCACCUCGCGAUCCUCCAGCUUCCCUCCCUCAUGGCCACGGAAGGCUGGCCCUUUCUGGUCCAAGCCCCCAGGGUCCCACACUUACUGGUUUUCCAUGCACUUUCAUUAUUUCCCUUUCUCUCUCUUCAAUGUUCCCUUAUCCUGAGUAUUGAGGUCCCCAAACGCGCCUUUCUACCCCACGUUUGGACAUAGCCGGAAUGUCUACCUCCUUCUCCAUCCGGUGAAGCACUGCUCCCCCUAAAAUCACCAGCUCAAAAGUCACCUCUAUGAAACCUUUUUAGACUUUUCCAACGCAGUCAUUCGUGCCUUUCCCUGGUUUCCCUACUGCUCGCAUCACAUUGGACAGGAAAUGCUAUUUAAACGUUUUUCUCCUCUCCCUAAUCAGGGAGCUCCUCUGAGAGGAGCCAUGGCUGUCCUUGCUUAUUCAACAAUAAAACCUAGUAUAUAUCAAGUGCAUACUAUGGAGCGUUUAAUGCACUGUACUGUGCAAAAACAUAUUGUCUUAUUUCAUUUUCCCAGCAAAAUCAUGAGGAAAGCACGAAUAUUGUUUCCCAUUUUGCAGAUGAAGAAACUGAGGUUAGAGAAAAUAAGUACCCAUCCAAGGUAGCAUUGCAGAGCCUCAUCCAAGUCAGCCUGUCGGAUGCCAGAGCCAACUUUUCUUAACCUCUGACUUGCAGACUUAUUCAGCUGUAUAUCCGUGGGCUUUGUGAUAGGAAAAGACACAGAAUGAGUACUUGUGUGUUUAUGAAUAAAUGUAUCUUUUAAAUUAUUUCUUCUCCUAGAGAGUUGGGUGUGGGAAGGCACUGCAAUUAUCAGAUACUUUGAUUGAAAUGUCACCACAAUUAUUUAUCUCUAAAGAGUAUUCCUCUGCUAAGUAGCUAGGAGACCUUGGUCAAGUCACUUCAUCCUCAGUUUCCUAAGUUCUAAAAGUAGGUUUUCUGUGGAGGAUUAAAUGAGAAAAAAAAAUGUGAAUUACAUGAUAUAUAGCAUUCUAGUCAUUGCUCAGUAAUUAUAAUAACUCGAAACUACUGAAACACACACAAAAAAAACAAAACACAAAAUUGACUUACCCUAGUCACACAGAAUUCCCUGUACCUCUGUAUGAAAUCAUCUUACUGUUAUAUCUUCAUUUUCAUCUUAGACAUGAAUUAUAUAAUAAAUAUUUUUAGUUUAUGGUGGUUAGGGUGUUAAUGUUAACCCUGCUCUGUUACAAAUAUUUAAGGGGUAGUGGGAGAGAUAUAAUCAAACAGUAAACCAGCAAACUUUGCCUCUUGUAAUUUCCUCCUGCUUUGUAGAUCUUUACCAAGAAAGAUUUAAAGAAAGGCUAUAAAAGUACUUAUUGGCCAGGCACGGUGUCUCACUCCUGUAAUCCCAGCACUUUGGGAGUCCGAGGCAGGUGGAUAACCUGAGGUCAGGAGUUCGAGACCAGCCUGGCCAAUAUGGUGAAACCCUGUCUCUACUAAAAAUACAAAAAAUUAGCCGGGCUUGGUGACGGGUGCCUGCAAUCCUAGCUACUUGGGAGGCUGAGGCAGGAGAAUCGCUUGAACCCAGGAGGCAGAGGUUGCAGUGAGCCAAGAUCGCACCAUUGCACUCCACCUGGGCAACAAGAACAAAACUCUGCCUCAAAAAAAAAGAAAAAAGAAAAAGAAAAAGAUGCUUAUUAUUCUGGAAAGUACAAAACUCUAUUUUUUAAUUUAGGGGAGAUUCUGAGCUAGUUUAAGUGUUUCCCUACUUGAAAACAUCAUUGCUACCAAUACAUUAAAAGUUUAAAAAUAUGUGUCUAAGCAAAUGAUUGUAUCCAAAUAAAAGAAAACUCAAAUAAAAUAAUGUAUUACUACUAAUAUAUUAAAAGUUUAAAAAUACAUGUCUAAGCAAAUGAUUGUAUCCAAAUAAAAUAAACAAAUGAAGGUUGUCUGAACAUAUUCUAGACCUUAAGACAUUUCCCAAAAAGGUUAAGUUUUAAAGAUUUAACAUCUCUUUCUAGAGUGACCCAUUAAACAAACAUUCCUAUUGUCAAUUAGGUGAAAAUGAACUUUUUCCCCUGUUACGGCUAUAACUUUCCUACUGUCCAAUUAUUUUGGAAAGACUGUUGACUAGUAUUGUCAUGUCAUAAACACAUGAUUUCUCCUCUGAGAAAUGAGGCUAAUAAAAUCCACAAAAGGUAUAAACGUGCCUCCACAUUUUGCUGGCCCACAGUCCAUUUCUAGAAACUUCACUCCAGCCCCAGUUUAAUUUACUUUAUUGUACUUGCUUCCCAUUCUAUGCAAUUCUCUUGUAUAGAGAUGAAGAAAUGGAUUCAGGAAACUCUAUAAUGUGUUAAGAUAUUUUAUUGUACAGCUGAUGGAUAUUUGGGAAUUUGAUUCAUAUUGAUGGUGUGAGACACUGGCGUUUUGACAAAGUUGGGGUGUGUUCUGUUUUCCUUUUUUAUUCCUAUUAUGGUGGCCAUUAGAGAUGUUCACCAAAAUUUUGGGUUUUCUUCUUCCAGGUGCAUAGAAGGAUGGAAGUAUUCUGACCCUUCUGCAUUUAGCUGUGAUCUUGUGAUUUGCCCUGGCAAAUAAUGAAUUAGCAGAAGUGACAUGUGUCACUUACAGGGGCAGAAGCAUGAAGAGCCAUAGUGCAAUUUACCAAAUCCCCUUCCCGGUGGCACAGCUGUUGCUGCCCCCACCAGAUGGAGUUUCCAUCAGCAUCCCACCCCUGGCACAGACGUGUGGAGUGGAGACAUCUCCUACACCCAUAGACAUUUAGCAAGAAUGAGAAAUAAUCCUUUGUUACUGUAAAUCCCAGAGAUUUUUCUGUACUGCAGUAUAACCUAGCCUCUCUGGAAGAAUACACUUAGAAAGGAAACUCAUCUUUUCUUUUCUUUUGGGGGGCAAUUUGAAAAUUCUUCUCCUAGAGUGAAAAGUAGACUGCCAUGUCUAAUUAAAUAAAAUAAUCAGAAAAUGAAAUCAUUCAACUAGAAAUCUGAAUCUCAUUUUCUUAGUCUAUUCAUACAUUUCCCCAGGGUCAAAACAUCUGGAACCCUCUGAAAUAAGGAGAAUAACUAAAUUUUACAAAUACUUAAAAGGAAUCUCAAAAUUAUUGCUAGACCUCGACAAGAAUAUUCAGUGGGUCCUUAGUCCACUUGCAGAUACAUCAUGAAGUGAGUUACAUAGGUUGUGAUUAGAAAAUACUUUAUUAGCAAUUGGCCAGGCACAGUGGCUCACGCCUGUAAUCCCAGCACUUUGGGAGGCUGAGGUGUGAGGAUCAUCUGAGGCCAGGAGUUUGAGACCAGCCUGGCCAACAUGACGAAACCCUGUCCCUACUAAAAAUACAAAAAUUAGCUAGGCGUGGUGGCACACGCCUGUAGUCCCAGCUACUCAGGAGGCUGAGGCAGGAGAAUCACUUGAACCCAGAAGGCGGAGGUUGCAGUGAGUCAAGAUCAUACCACUACACUCCAGCCUGGGUGACAGAGAGACCCAUUUCAAAAAAAAAAAGAAAAAAGAAAAAAAGAAAAGGCUUUAUUAGCAACUGUAUGCAGACAUAAAGUAACUUUUCUCUCUGCCUCAUGUUCAAUUCUAUAUCAGAUUGGCAAAAAGGAAAAAUAUUUGACUAAUCAACUUGAAUUUAAUAACGUGAUCUAGGGCAAGUCAUUUAAAUUUUCCAGACCUUCUUGUCCUCAUGUGGUGUGAUGGACUCAAUGUUUCUGCCUUGCCCCGCUCCUCUGCCCUGCCAAAUUCAUAUAUUGAAACCCAAAUGCACAAUGUGAUGGUAUUACUUCCCACAGAUAACUAGGAGGUAAUUAGGUUAAGAUGAGCCAUGAGGGUGGGAUUAGUGUCCUUAAAAGAAGAGGUAGAGACUAAAGCUAGCAAGCACUCUCCAUCUGUCUCUCUCCCUCUCUGUCUCUCCCUGUCAUACGAGGACACAACAAGAAGGUAGCUUUCUGCAAGGCAGGAAGAGAACCCUCACCAGAACCUCAUCAUGUUGGCAUCCUGAUCUCACACUUCCCAACUUCCAGAAUGACAUGAUCGCUGGUAACAGAUGCCUGGUUCACUCUCAUCCUGGCCAUACCUGAGGACUAUGCUCCUCUUCUAGAAGUUCGGUGCAGUCAUCUGACUUAAUUGAUUCAGCGCAUUUAUCUGCAGGCUGGAGUACAAUAGCACGACAUCAGCUCACUGCAACAUCUGCCUCCCGGGUUCAAGCAAUUCUCCUGCCUCAGCUUCCCGAGUUGCUGGGAUUACAGGCACCUGCCACCAUGCCCAGCUAAUUUUUGUAUUUUUAGUAGAGAUGGGGUUUCACCAUGUUGGUCAGGCUGGUCUUGAACUCCUGACCUCAGGUGAUCCACUUGCCUCGGCCUCCCAAAGUGCUGGGAUUACAGGUGUGAGCCACCGCACCUGGCCUGUGAGAUGGUUUUCUUGGGUAGAAUGAAAGAAGCUUGGCUACUGGGUCCAUUUUAUGUGAACAUGUUGCUCCCUAUUAUAGUCAGUCCCUGGAACCCAUUGUAAAGUCAGUUCUGGGUUUUUGCUUAGCUACCAUGUAGUAACAGUCACAGCCUGUCUCCUGUCACCCUAACACCAUCACCAUUGCCAGUGGAUAUUUUUACCCCUAGUUUAUAGUUAGGAAGCCUGAGACCCAGAGGGAUUAAAGAGCUUUUCCAAAAUCAUAUGGCUGGCAACACUAGUAAUCUGGGCUGCCUGAGUCCUAAACAUCAUUCUACCCCAGCAUUGAAUUCCGAGGCCUCUAGAAUCUUACCUACCUUCCCUGUUUGAAAUGUAUUUGUGGGGGAACAAUUGACCUCAGAAUGAGUAAUUUGUCACUACUCUGAGAAAGUUUCACCGAGUUUCACAUUUUCCCAUUACAAAAGGAAAAUGAGAAAAUAUGUCCUAGAUACUACAGAGAAAAAUACUUCAUUGUCUUAAUUGCCUUUCUAUUUCAAUCAAGGAAGGCAUUUAAUUAUUUCUGAACUACAUUCAAAACUCUCUCUCAAGAAUAUUACUCUCCCCAGGUGAGUUAACCAAAGCUGUGCACAACAUUUCUCAAUCUGAAUAAUAACAUCAAAAAAUUUAUUGAGCACUUUUUAUAUGCCAAACUAGUCAAUUCUUUCUGUUUAUGACCUCAUUGAUUCCUCAUGGCAAGUUUAUGAAGUGGAAGCAAUCAUUCUCUCUUCUAACAAAUGAGGAAACUGAGGCACAGAGGGAUGAGAUAGUUUGUCUAAGAUUGUAAGGCAUUAGGUGGUGAAGUCAGCAUUGGAUCCCAGGCCAAGCCCGAGGCCAUCACUCCACCAUGCUGCCUCUCAAGAGAAAGAUUCAGUUUCCCCUUUGAGAUAUCCAUUUAUAAGUACAUGUGCCAAAGCAAUGUGAAGAAACCAACCCAGAUGACUUGAUUAAGCUACAGAAGGGACAUCUGGGGUCUCAAGCCUCUGGAAAUCAAGGUGGAGCAUGUAGAGGUUAUGGGAUCAGGAGAGACAGAGUUUGACUUCUUUGUUUUUUCUUUGAGACCAAGUCUUGCUCUGUUGCCCAGGCUGGAGUGCAGUGGUGUGAUCUUGGCUCAAUACAACCUCCACCUCCUGGGUUCAAGUGAUUCUCCUGCCUCGGGCUACUGAGUAGCUGGGAUUACAGGCGCACGCCAUCAGGCCGGCUAAUUUUUGUAUUUUUAGUAGACACGGGGUUUCACCAUGUUGGUCAGGCUGGUCUCGAACUCCUGACCUCGUGAUCCACCUGCCUCGGCCUCCCAAAGUGCUGGGAUUACAGGCAUGAGCCACCGUGCCCGGCCUGGGUUUGACUUCUUAAGCAACCUGAGGAAUGAUGUCCUUGCUGCUGAGCACAGCUGCCCUGGGCCCUGGAAAACCCACAUGACACUCACUCAGCACCCAAUGCUGGCUUCAUUGUGGCUGUUGGAAACCAUGUGGAAAAGAAAUAACUUUUUUUGUGAUCUGUACGUUAUGGCUAUUAUUUUUUUACCUCGCUUAGCUUUUCAAGAGAAUGAAGACCAGUCGACUUAGUAUUUGUACUCUGAAAUCGAAUGGCAUGAACACAUGUGUUGUAUAAGUGAGAAGAAGUAUUCUCUUGUGUGAUGGACUAUAGCCUUCAGAAAGCACCUACUAUUAAACAGAAUAGAGAUUGGAUUUUGAAAUAUGUAGGCCACAUCAGUAGGAAAGUUGACACUUCAAAUUGCUCACAAGGACUUUAAACUCUACAAUAGGUAAAAUGUGGAGUACCUUAUGUUUUCAGACCAAAUGAUUUUGUAAUUUGAAUUCAAAAUUUUUUUAGUCUUCACAGUAGUCUUAGCAUUAAAAGCAUAGUUAUUUUUAAUAUUUUGAUAAAAUAUUCUAUUUCAUUAAUUUUGUAUAAGGGCAUGUGUGAGAAGCAUUGAUAUUUUUAAAAUAUAAAAAUACAGCCUCUUUCUAAUAAGCAAGAGCAAUUGUUGAUUUUUAAAUUUUGUGUUUUUGGAGGCUUCCAUUCACAAAUCUGAUUGUUUAAAUAAAUCUGUCUCCAGUAAAUAUGUUGGCACU
rnacentral:lncRNA from 1 species